AGUGAACGCUGGCGGUAGGCCUAACACAUGCAAGUCGAACGGCAGCACAGUAAGAGCUUGCUCUUACGGGUGGCGAGUGGCGGACGGGUGAGGAAUACAUCGGAAUCUACUUUUUCGUGGGGGAUAACGUAGGGAAACUUACGCUAAUACCGCAUACGACUUACGGGUGAAAGCAGGGGAUCUUCGGACCUUGCGCGAUUGAAUGAGCCGAUGUCGGAUUAGCUAGUUGGCGGGGUAAAGGCCCACCAAGGCGACGAUCCGUAGCUGGUCUGAGAGGAUGAUCAGCCACACUGGAACUGAGACACGGUCCAGACUCCUACGGGAGGCAGCAGUGGGGAAUAUUGGACAAUGGGCGCAAGCCUGAUCCAGCCAUACCGCGUGGGUGAAGAAGGCCUCCGGGUUGUAAAGCCCUUUUGUUGGGAAAGAAAAGCAGCAGGUUAAUACCCCGCUGUUCUGACGGUACCCAAAGAAUAAGCACCGGCUAACUUCGUG
rnacentral:rRNA from 1 species